rnacentral:rRNA from 1 species
UUCCGGUUGAUCCUGCCGGACCUGACUGCUAUCGGAUUGAUACUAAGCCAUGCGAGUCAUUGUAGCAAUACAAGGCAGACGGCUCAGUAACGCGUAGUCAACCUAACCUAUGGACGGGAAUAACCUCGGGAAACUGAGAAUAAUGCCCGAUAGAACACUAUACCUGGAAUGGUUUGUGUUCCAAAUGAUUUAUCGCCGUAGGAUGGGACUGCGGCCUAUCAGUUUGUUGGUGAGGUAAUGGCCCACCAAGACUAUUACAGGUACGGGCUCUGAGAGGAGUAGCCCGGAGAUGGGUACUGAGACACGGACCCAGGCCCUAUGGGGCGCAGCAGGCGAGAAAACUUUGCAAUGUGCGAAAGCACGACAAGGUUAAUCCGAGUGAUUUGUGCUAAACGAAUCUUUUGUUAGUCCUAGAAACACUAACGAAUAAGGGGUGGGCAAGUUCUGGUGUCAGCCGCCGCGGUAAAACCAGCACCUCAAGUGGUCAGGAUGAUUAUUGGGCCUAAAGCAUCCGUAGCCGGCUCUGUAAGUUUUCGGUUAAAUCUGUACGCUUAACGUACAGGCUGCCGGGAAUACUGCAGAGCUAGGGAGUGGGAGAGGUAGACGGUACUCGGUAGGAAGGGGUAAAAUCCUUUGAUCUAUUGAUGACCACCUGUGGCGAAGGCGGUCUACCAGAACACGUCCGACGGUGAGGGAUGAAAGCUGGGGGAGCGAACCGGAUUAGAUACCCGGGUAGUCCCAGCUGUAAACGAUGCAUGCUAGGUUGUUUGGGCGGCCACGAGCCGCCCUAGUGCCGCACGGAAGCUGCUGAGCCUGCCGCCUGGGGAGUACGGCCGCAAGGCUGAAACUUAAAGGAAUUGGCGGGGGAGCACCACAAGGGGUGAAGCUUGCGGUUUAAUUGGAGUCAACGCCGGAA